CAACCACCCAAUUUAUUUAUCAAAAAAAAAAAAAAACUGAUUUUCUUUUUUAUUUGUCUGACAUGAAAUGUACCCCUAAAUAUAGAAUGACCCAGCUAAUACUGCGGUUGUCCUCUCCAUGUUCUGUAUAUUAAUCCAGAUAUACUGUUUAUCAUUUAACACCUCACAAGACUCCAGCUAUUUGUCUUAAAAAUAAACACUAGUAUCAAGUUACCUGAUUUCUCUUUCGUGUUUCUUUUUUUCUUUUCUGUUUCUUGUUACGUGUAAACUAAUGGCAAUGCGGGAGGAAAAGCAAAAAAUACGAAGCUCACGUUGUCGCUGCAUGUGAGAGUGCACUUGAUAAGACCUCUGGUUGUGUUUUCUGCUCUUCAGCACAGAUAGCCUCUAAAGACUAUUUUGGCGGGCAGUAAGGAUGAGUCAGAUGAGUUUUCGAGGAGAAAUUUGUGUGACACAUUAGCAGACACACUGUGCAACCUGUUAAGUAUUUGAAAUCGGCAUGGAAUCGUUAACAUAGCAUGCUAGCAUAUGUUGUUUUUUUUUCUUUUUUUUUCACAGAAAUUUGGUAUCUCUUUUAGAGGUUUCUCUGUGCACAAAAACCCAACUGCAGAUUCCAAAUGUCUAUCCAACAUAUUUUCAUGAAAAACAACUGUAAUAAACUAUAAUAACCAACAAACAAUCAUAUUCUGGAAGCCAUGCAGCUCUAUAUACAAUUUAGACAGAACCAAAAUGGCCUUGUUUAAUUUUUAAGCCAUUAUCUACCAGAUGGGCAACAGGUGGGAUUGUUCUGUCCAUUUACUCAUGUUGUAAAAUCAAAUUAGCAUGUUUUAUUAGCCACCUGUUUGUGUUCACGUGAUAAAUCUAGCAUUGGUUGCAGGUUAUCCCGUUUAUCAAUUGGCAGGCCUACGUUUCAUCUACUUUUUCAUCUGGUUUCUCCUGACAGGAACGGAUGAGGUUCCCUGCGCCCUAAGCUAAAUGUUAUGUUAUACUUUGUCACGGGAAGCAGUCCAAUUUAUUUGGAGGACUGUUGCUGUGGAGUUUAAAUGCAGAGAAAAGCCAUCAAUCAUCACAUAUCAGGGGUUCUUCUUGGUGGCAGUGGAAAUUCGGGCUAUAACAUCAAGUACUGUUUUCUUGUCCAUUUCAAUGCUGUCUAAGCGCUCUGAAGAGUUGGAGUCUCGAUGUGGAGAGAGUCGGAUGGCAGGACCGAAGCCAGUGUGGUUUCUGCGGCAGACCUACUCUGACAGGGCCUUGUCAACUCAGCAAGGUUCACAGAGGUUGCUGUGGUUUAGCUGA
ensembl:lncRNA